GACGAACGCUGGCGGCGUGCUUAACACAUGCAAGUCGAACGGAAAGGCCCUGCUUUUGUGGGGUGCUCGAGUGGCGAACGGGUGAGUAACACGUGAGUAACCUGCCCUUGACUUUGGGAUAACUUCAGGAAACUGGGGCUAAUACCGGAUAGGAGCUCCUGCUGCAUGGUGGGGGUUGGAAAGUUUCGGCGGUUGGGGAUGGACUCGCGGCUUAUCAGCUUGUUGGUGGGGUAGUGGCUUACCAAGGCUUUGACGGGUAGCCGGCCUGAGAGGGUGACCGGCCACAAUGGGACUGAGAGACGGACCAGACUCCUACGGGAGGCAGCAGUGGGGAAUAUUGCACAAUGGGCGGAAGCCUGAUGCAGAAACGCCGCGUGCGGGAUGACGGCCUUCGGGUUGUAAACCGCUUUCGCCUGUGACGAAGCGUGAGUGACGGUAAUGGGUAAAGAAGCACCGGCUAACUACGUG
rnacentral:rRNA from 1 species